AACAAACGCUGGCGGCGUGCCUAAUACAUGCAAGUCGAACGGGGAAAGCUUUCGGGUGAGUACUAGUGGCGCACGGGUGAGUAACGCGUGGAUAAUCUGCCUUAGAGUGGGGGAUAACUAGUCGAAAGAUUAGCUAAUACCGCAUAAGACCACAAGAACUGCGGUUCAAGGGGUCAAAGGUUUUUCGCUCUAAGAUGAGUCCGCGUAAGAUUAGCUAGUUGGUGAGGUAAUGGCUCACCAAGGCGACGAUCUUUAACUGGUCUGAGAGGAUGAUCAGUAACACUGGAACUGAGACACGGUCCAGACUCCUACGGGAGGCAGCAGUAGGGAAUAUUGCACAAUGGAGGAAACUCUGAUGCAGCGACGCCGCGUGAGUGAUGAAGGCCUUCGGGUCGUAAAGCUCUGUCGCAAGGGAAUAACACAAUGAAUGUACCUUGCAAGAAAGGAUCGGCUAACUUCGUGCCAGCCGCCGCAGUAACAC
rnacentral:rRNA from 1 species